AGAGUUUGAUCCUGGCUCAGGAUGAACGCCGGCGGUGUGCCUAAUACAUGCAAGUCGUACGCACUGGCCCAACUGAUUGAUGGUGCUUGCACCUGAUUGACGUUGGAUCACCAGUGAGUGGCGGACGGGUGAGUAACACGUAGGUAACCUGCCCCGGAGCGGGGGAUAACAUUUGGAAACAGAUGCUAAUACCGCAUAACAACAAAAGCCACAUGGCUUUUGUUUGAAAGAUGGCUUUGGCUAUCACUCUGGGAUGGACCUGCGGUGCAUUAGCUAGUUGGUAAGGUAACGGCUUACCAAGGCGAUGAUGCAUAGCCGAGUUGAGAGACUGAUCGGCCACAAUGGAACUGAGACACGGUCCAUACUCCUACGGGAGGCAGCAGUAGGGAAUCUUCCACAAUGGGCGCAAGCCUGAUGGAGCAACACCGCGUGAGUGAAGAAGGGUUUCGGCUCGUAAAGCUCUGUUGUUGGAGAAGAACGUGCGUGAGAGUAACUGUUCACGCAGUGACGGUAUCCAACCAGAAAGUCACGGCUAACUACGUGCCAGCAGCCGCGGUAAUACGUAGGUGGCAAGCGUUACCCGGAUUUAUUGGGCGUAAAGCGAGCGCAGGCGGUUGCUUAGGUCUGAUGUGAAAGCCUUCGGCUUAACCGAAGAAGUGCAUCGGAAACCGGGCGACUUGAGUGCAGAAGAGGACAGUGGAACUCCAUGUGUAGCGGUGGAAUGCGUAGAUAUAUGGAAGAACACCAGUGGCGAAGGCGGCUGUCUGGUCUGCAACUGACGCUGAGGCUCGAAAGCAUGGGUAGCGAACAGGAUUAGAUACCCUGGUAGUCCAUGCCGUAAACGAU
rnacentral:rRNA from 1 species